rnacentral:lncRNA from 1 species
GAAUUUUUUGUAAUCCAUGAUCGAAAUGUUUGUUUUCUUUUCUUGUAAUCCAUGAUCGCUUUUUUUGUUUUUUUUUUUUUUUGUUAACCCAUGAUAGAAUUUUUUGUAAUCCAUGAUCGAAUGUUUUGUAAUACAUGAUCGAAAUGUUUGUUUUUGUUUUGUAAUCCAUGAUCGAAAUGUUUGUUUUUUUUUUUGUAAUCCAUGAUUGAAUUUUUUGUUUUUUGCUUUUUUUGUAACCCAUGAUAAAGUUUUUU